rnacentral:miRNA from 1 species
GUCGAGUUGGAGGAGGCG